ACCUCCACUCCCCAGAUGCGGUCUUAUUAAUGGAUACUAAGAAUAGAACAGACAGGUUGGAGAAAUUGAAGAAGUUGCAUUUUUAUUAUAUAUGUCAUGUUCCUCCUCGGGAUUAAUAGGGGUCUGGAUUUAAUAUAGAAGAAGAGCAUUAAUUUUCAAGUUCGAUCUCUUUAUAAAUCAUUAUGGAAGUUGAUGAUCAUAAGGUACAAAAUUGUCAAAAAUAUCUUUAAAGGAACAUUUUAAUUAUUAAAAUUUGAAACUUCAUCGUUAAAUUCUCCGGUUCAAAUCAUAAAAUAAACAAGAUGAAAUUUAUGGAUUGUGAGAAGGUGUCUUCUUAUGUAUAAAAAAUAAAAGAGAUAAUGUUAGAAAUAUUCAAUUUGCAAAAUUACAAGUUAGAAAAUGAUAUUUUUAAAAUUUUAAGGCAGUAAAAUAGAAAAUUGCAAAGAUGAUGGGUAUUUUUAACAAAAUCAAAAUGUUGUACUAUUUAUGGAAGAUAUCAUAAUCAU
rnacentral:lncRNA from 1 species